rnacentral:rRNA from 1 species
GUACCCGUUCGAAUAGGGGCGGUACCUUGGACGGUACCUUAACCAGAAAGGCCACGGCUAAACUACGUGCCAGCAGCCCGCGGUAAUACGUAGGUGGCAAGCGUUGUCCGGAAUUAUUGGGCGUAAAGCGCGCGCAGGCGGUUUCUUAAGUCUGAUGUGAAAGCCCCCGGCUCAACCGGGGAGGGUCAUUGGAAACUGGGGAACUUGAGUGCAGAAGAGGAGAGUGGAAUUCCACGUGUAGCGGUGAAAUGCGUAGAGAUGUGGAGGAACACCAGUGGCGAAGGCGACUCUCUGGUCUGUAACUGACGCUGAGGCGCGAAAGCGUGGGGAGCGAACAGGAUUAGAUACCCUGGUAGUCCACGCCGUAAACGAUGAGUGCUAAGUGUUAGAGGGUUUCCGCCCUUUAGUGCUGCAGCAAACGCAUUAAGCACUCCGCCUGGGGAGUACGGUCGCAAGACUGAAACUCAAAGGAAUUGACGGGGGCCCGCACAAGCGGUGGAGCAUGUGGUUUAAUUCGAAGCAACGCGAAGAACCUUACCAGGUCUUGACAUCCUCUGACAACCCUAGAGAUAGGGCUUCCCCUUCGGGGGCAGAGUGACAGGUGGUGCAUGGUUGUCGUCAGCUCGUGUCGUGAGAUGUUGGGUUAAGUCCCGCAACGAGCGCAACCCUUGAUCUUAGUUGCCAGCAUUCAGUUGGGCACUCUAAGGUGACUGCCGGUGACAAACCGGAGGAAGGUGGGGAUGACGUCAAAUCAUCAUGCCCCUUAUGACCUGGGCUACACACGUGCUACAAUGGGCAGAACAAAGGGCAGCGAAGCCGCGAGGAUAAGCCAAUCCCACAAAUCUG